UGGGGAAUAUUGGACAAUGGGCGAAAGCCUGAUCCAGCCAUGCCGCGUGUGUGAAGAAGGUCUUCGGAUUGUAAAGCACUUUAAGUUGGGAGGAAGGGCAUUAACCUAAUACGUUAGUGUUUUGACGUUACCGACAGAAUAAGCACCGGCUAACUCUGUGCCAGCAGCCGCGGGAAUACAGAGGGUGCAAGCGUUCAUCGGAAUUACUGGGCGUAAAGCGCGCGUAGGUGGUUUGUUAAGUUGGAUGUGAAAUCCCCGGGCUCAACCUGGGAACUGCAUUCAAAACUGACUGACUAGAGUAUGGUAGAGGGUGGUGGAAUUUCCUGUGUAGCGGUGAAAUGCGUAGAUAUAGGAAGGAACACCAGUGGCGAAGGCGACCACCUGGACUAAUACUGACACUGAGGUGCGAAAGCGUGGGGAGCAAACA
rnacentral:rRNA from 1 species